rnacentral:lncRNA from 1 species
UUGAUCUUUUCCUUCCAGAAAUUUAUAAAUCACAUUAUCAAAUUUUGCUGAAUCUCUGUGCGAUUUUCUCCUUUCUUUCUAAUCUUGGCCUAGCCCGAGAGAUCACUUCAAUGCCUUCUUGCAUUUCUUUCUUUAUCAAAUACUUUUAUAAUCUUCAUGUUCACUAUUUCUCUCAAUUCUUCUUGAUAUUCUUCACACAUAUAUUGCUCAUUUUUCA